AUAGAAUAUCAAGCGUUUAAGAGCAUUUGAUGGAUGCCUUGGCACACAGAGGCGAUGAAGGACGUAGUACGUUGCGAUAAGCUUCGGGGAGUUACGAACAGACUUUGAUCCGAAGAUUUCCGAAUGGGGCAACCCAACUCUUUUGAGUUAUUGCUAACUGAAUACAUAGGUUAGUAAAGCGAACCUAGCGAACUGAAACAUCUAAGUAACUAGAGGAAAGGAUAUCAACCGAUACUCCGUAAGUAGUGGCGAGCGAAAGCGGAUCAGGCCAGUGGUUUUAAUUGUACAACCAAAAUUACCUGGAAAGGUAAACCGUAGAGAGUGAUAGUCUCGUAUGGGUAAUGACGAUUAAAAUCCUUGAGUAAGACGGGACACGUGAAAUCCUGUCCGAAUAUGGGGGGACCACCCUCCAAGCCUAAGUACUACUGUGUGACCGAUAGUGAACUAGUACCGUGAGGGAAAGGUGAAAAGAACCCCGACGAGGGGAGUGAAAUAGAUCCUGAAAUUGAAUGCUUACAAGCUGUCGAAGCCCGCAAGGGUGACGGCGUACCUUUUGUAUAAUGGGUCAGCGAGUUAGUUUAAGUUGCAAGCUUAAGCCGUAAGGUGUAGGCGUAGCGAAAGCGAGUCUGAAUAGGGCGUUAGUAUCUUGAAUUAAACCCGAAACCGAGUGAUCUAGCCAUGAGCAGGUUGAAGAUAAGGUAAUACUUAUUGGAGGACCGAACCAGUUGACGUUGAAAAGUCUUUGGAUGACUUGUGGUUAGGGGUGAAAGGCCAAUCAAACUCGGAUAUAGCUGGUUCUCCGCGAAAACUAUUUAGGUAGUGCGUCACAUGAAUACCAUCGGGGGUAAAGCACUGGAUGGGCAAGGGGGAAGAAAUUCUUACUAAGUCCAACCAAACUCUGAAUACCGAUGAGUUAUAUGUGGCAGACAGACUACGGGUGCUAAGGUCCGUGGUCGAGAGGAAAACAGUCCAGACCAACAGCUAAGGUCCCCAAGUUAUUGUUAAGUGGGAAAGGAUGUCGGACGACCAAAACAGCCAGGAGGUUGGCUUAGAAGCAGCCAUCCUUUAAAGAAAGCGUAACAGCUCACUGGUCUAAAUAAGCCGGCCUGCGCCGAAGAUUUAACGGGGCUAAAGCCAUACACCGAAGCUGUGGAUGCCGUAAGGCAUGGUAGCGGAGCGUUCUGUAAGCCGCUGAAGGUAACACGUGAGUGCUACUGGAGGUAUCAGAAGUGAGAAUGCUGACAUGAGUAGCGAUAAAGAGUGUGAGAAACACUCUCGCCGAAAGCCCAAGGGUUCCUGCGCAAGGUUAAUCCACGCAGGGUUAGUCGGCCCCUAAGAUAAGUGCGAAAGCAGUAGUCGAUGGGAACACGGUUAAUAUUCCGUGACCUGAUGGUAGUGACGGAUGGUGUAUAUUGUAAAUGCUUAUCGGAUUGUGUUUGCAGUGAAGCCGUUCCAGGAAAUAGCUCCAUCAUUAAGACCGUACCCGAAACCGACACAGGUGGGCAGGUAGAGAAUACCAAGGCGCUUGGGAGAAUGAUGUUGAAGGAACUCGGCAAAAUGCACCCGUAACUUCGGAAUAAGGGUGGCCUGUUCUGGGCAACCAGAAACAGGUAGCAUAAAAUAGGGGGUAGCGACUGUUUAUUAAAAACAUAGGGCUCUGCAAAGUGGCAACACGACGUAUAGGGUCCGACGCCUGCCCGGUGCUGGAAGGUUAAGAGGAGUUGUGCAAGCAGCGAAUUGAAGCCCCAGUAAACGGCGGCCGUAACUAUAACGGUCCUAAGGUA
rnacentral:rRNA from 1 species